UACGGAGGGUGCUAGCGUUGUUCGGAAUCACUGGGCGUAAAGGGCGUGUAGGCGGUCUGUUAAGUCUGAUGUGAAAUCCCCUCGCUCAACGAGGGAACUGCGUCGGAUACUGGCAGACUCGAGUACCGGAGAGGAAGGUGGAAUUCCCGGUGUAGCGGUGAAAAUGCGUAGAUAUCGGGAGGAACACCGGUGGCGAAGGCGGCCUUCUGGACGGAUACUGACGCUGAAGACGCGAAAGCGUGGGGAGCAAAACAGGA
rnacentral:rRNA from 1 species